rnacentral:rRNA from 1 species
AUUGAACGCUAGCGGGAUGCCUUACACAUGCAAGUCGAACGGCAGCACGGAUUCGGUCUGGUGGCGAGUGGCGAACGGGUGAGUAAUGUAUCGGAACGUGCCCAGUAGCGGGGGAUAACUACGCGAAAGCGUAGCUAAUACCGCAUACGCCCUACGGGGGAAAGCAGGGGAUCGCAAGACCUUGCACUAUUGGCGCGGCCGAUAUCGGAUUAGCUAGUUGGUGGGGUAACGGCUCACCAAGGCGACGAUCCGUAGCUGGUUUGAGAGGACGACCAGCCACACUGGGACUGAGACACGGCCCAGACUCCUACGGGAGGCAGCAGUGGGGAAUUUUGGACAAUGGGGGAAACCCUGAUCCAGCCAUCCCGCGUGUGCGAUGAAGGCCUUUCGGGUUGUAAAGCACUUUUGGCAGGAAAGAAACGUCGUGGGUUAAUACCCCGCGAAACUGACGGUACUGCAGAAUAAGCACCGCUAA